UACUUGGUUGAUCCUGCCAAGGAAGCACACUUAGGUCAUAGAUUAAGCCAUGCAAGUGUUAGUUCAGGUAACGAAACUGCGAAUAGCUCAUUAAUACGCUCAGAAUCUAUUUGGCGGCGACAACAGGUCUUAAAUGGAUAGCAGCAGCAACUCUGGUGCUAAUACAUGCGAAUGGUUUCUCCAGAUGUGAAUUAAUGG
rnacentral:ncRNA from 1 species